rnacentral:rRNA from 1 species
AUCCUUCAAAUCUUAUAAAAUUUAACUAAAUAAAACAAUUUUAUACUCUAACUUCCAUAUAUCUAAUAAACUAAAAAGUACUAAAAAGGAAAAAAUCAAUAACUUAAAGUAGUGAACACCCACGUACCUUGUGCAUUAUGGUUUUACAAGCUUUAAAUUGACAAUAAUCUCCCGAAUUCUGCGCGAGCUGCUUUUAUAUAGCUAAGAGCCCACUACUAGUUGUAGCAACAACUUUAGAAAAUAUUUUAGCAGGGGCUACAUACCAAACGCGCCAGAAAAUUGCUGGUUCUCAAUAAAAUUUAUAAAUUAAAACAUAUAAUACUUAUUAUAGUGUAAGAUCUUAGAGGAUAAGCCCUAUGAUCUCAAGCCAAUAAACCCUACUAUCUAAAUGACUAGGCCUAAAACCAGCCACUAACAGUACUUUACCGUUCAAAUUAUUUAAUAAAUAAAUAAUAUGCCCCAUAGAAUUGAGAUUUAUUAUAAACAAAUACUAUUAAAAUAUUAUGUAAAAAUAAGUAUUAGAAUAACUAUAACCUAUUCACCCAAUUAACUAAUAAUAGCUUAUAAAGGAACUCGGCAAAUCUUAUUUCGACUGUUUAUCAAAAACAUUGCUUCUUGUGAAAUUAUAAGAAGUAAUUCCUGCCCAG